UGCCCGGUGGUGUAAUGGUAGCACAGCUGGUUUUGGUCCAGCCAGUCAAGGUUCGAGCCCUUGCCGGGCAGC
rnacentral:tRNA from 1 species